AUGGUGGUGGCAACUUCAAGCCCUGCUAACCCCAUGGUGUUCUUUGAUGUCAGCAAUGGCAGUCAGGAAGUUGGCCGCACAAAGAUCGAGCUCUCUGCAGACGUUGUGCCUAAGACGACCGAGAACUUUGGGUAGUUCUGCACUAGAGAAUUCAGAAAAGAUGGGGUUCCAAUAGGAUACAAAGGAAGCACUUUCCACAGGGUCAUAAAGGAUUUCAUGAUUUAGGGUGGAGAUUUUGUUAAUGGAGAUGGUACUGGAGUCGCCAGUAUUUACCAGGAGACAUUCGCAGACGAAAAUUUUAAACUUAGACACUCAGCUCCAGGCCUGCUUUCCACGGCAAACAGCGGUCCCAGUACAAAUGGCUGUCAGUUCUUUAUCACCUGCUCUAAGUGUGAUUGGCUGGAUGGGAAGCAUGUAAUGUUUGGAAAAAUCACUGAUGGACUUCUAGUGAUGAGAAAGAUUCAGAAUGUUCCCACAGGCCCCAACAAUAAGCCCAAACUACUGUGGUGA
rnacentral:lncRNA from 1 species